rnacentral:rRNA from 1 species
AUUGAACGCUAGCGGGAUGCUUUACACAUGCAAGUCGAACGAGUGGGGACGGGUGAGUAACACGUGGGUAACCUCCCAUCAGAGGGGAUAACACUUGGAAACAGGUGCUAAACCGAUACUGCUGGAUGGACCCGCGGUGCAUUAGCUAGUUGGUGGGGUAACGGCUCACCAAGGCCACGAUGCAUAGCCGACCUGAGAGGGUGAUCGGCCACACUGGGACUGAGACACGGCCCAGACUCCUACGGGAGGCAGCAGUGGGGAAUAUUCGGCAAUGGACGAAAGUCUGACCGAGCAAUGCCGCGUGAGUGAAGAAGGUCUUCGGAUCGUAAAACUCUGUUGUUAGAGAAGCGGUAUCUAACCAGAAAGCCACGGCUAACUACGUGCCAGCAGCCGCGGUAAUUC